GGGCCUGUAGCUCAGUUGGUUAGAGCACCGCCUUGAUAAGGCGGGGGUCAUAGGUUCGAGUCCUAUCAGGCCCACCA
rnacentral:tRNA from 12 species